rnacentral:rRNA from 1 species
GAUGGACGCUGGCGGCGUGCUUAACACAUGCAAGUCGAACGGUGAACCCGGAGCUUGCUCUGUGGGAUCAGUGGCGAACGGGUGAGUAACACGUGAGCAACCUGCCCCUGACUCUGGGAUAAGCGCUGGAAACGGCGUCUAAUACUGGAUAUGUGACGUGACCGCAUGGUCUGCGUUUGGAAAGAUUUUUCGGUUGGGGAUGGGCUCGCGGCCUAUCAGCUUGUUGGUGAGGUAAUGGCUCACCAAGGCGUCGACGGGUAGCCGGCCUGAGAGGGUGACCGGCCACACUGGGACUGAGACACGGCCCAGACUCCUACGGGAGGCAGCAGUGGGGAAUAUUGCACAAUGGGCGCAAGCCUGAUGCAGCAACGCCGCGUGAGGGAUGACGGCCUUCGGGUUGUAAACCUCUUUUAGCAGGGAAGAAGCGAAAGUGACGGUACCUGCAGAAAAAGCGCCGGCUAACUACGU